rnacentral:rRNA from 1 species
UGGGGAAUAUUGCACAAUGGGCGCAAGCCUGAUGCAGCGACGCCGCGUGGGGGAUGACGGCCUUCGGGUUGUAAACUCCUUUCGCCAGGGACGAAGCGUUUUGUGACGGUACCUGGAGAAGAAGCACCGGCUAACUACGUGCCAGCAGCCGCGGUAAUACGUAGGGUGCAAGCGUUGUCCGGAAUUACUGGGCGUAAAGAGCUCGUAGGUGGUUUGUCACGUCGUCUGUGAAAUUCCACAGCUUAACUGUGGGCGUGCAGGCGAUACGGGCUAACUUGAGUACUGUAGGGGUAACUGGAAUUCCUGGUGUAGCGGUGAAAUGCGCAGAUAUCAGGAGGAACACCGAUGGCGAAGGCAGGUUACUGGGCAGUUACUGACGCUGAGGAGCGAAAGCAUGGGUAGCAAACAGGAUUAGAUACCCUGGUAGUCCAUGCCGUAAACGGUGGGCGCUAGGUGUAGGGGCCUUUUGGGGUUUCUGUGCCGUAGCUAACGCAUUAAGCGCCCCGCCUGGGGAGUACGGCCGCAAGGCUA